rnacentral:rRNA from 1 species
UACGUAGGGUGCGAGCGUUAAUCGGAAUUAUUGGGCGUAAAGCGAGUGCCGACGGUUGUUUAAGCCAGAUGUGAAAUCCCCGAGCUUAACUUGGGACGUGCAUUUGGAACUGGAUAACUAGAGUGUGACAGAGGGAGGUAGAAUUCCACAUGUAGCGGUGGAAUGCGUAGAGAUGUGGAGGAAUACCGAUGGCGAAGGCAGCCUCCUGGGAUAACACUGACGUUGAGGCUCGAAAGCGUGGGGAGCAAAC